GUAGCGAUACUGAAAAAAAAUUAACAUUUUCAAUUAAAAAAUGUGUCAAAAAAUAAGAUUCCUUUGUUGCAAAAGCAAUUGAAGACUUGCCAGAGGCUCAAAUAAUUACGGUUUAAGAAUGUUUCUCAGCCGUAAAAAAAGGAGGAAAAUAGGGUCGCCGAUACAUCUCUGACUAGAUAUACAAGUGCAUACUUAUAUUAUAUGAACAUCUAUGCCUGAAAGAUAUUCUGCCCCUUCCAAUUCAACCAAAGUUAUUGAAUUACAUCAGCUUUCCCCGUGGUUUUGGAUUUAAAGGAGGCACUAUUCAAAAUUCUGAAGAGUAAAGCAGCAUUCAUGAGAGCACUAUUAAUAGAUGAAAUUAAAUUAUCUGAAGGGAUUUCAUUCAAUACCAAAAAUAUACAAAUUAUUGGAUUCACUGAUUAAGAGAAGAAUAUUCCUACCGAGGGCGAAUGAAUUAGACGACUAUGGCCUUGUUUUUAUGUUCCAAUCUUUUCAAGGCAAAUGGAUUCAGACACUCGGGUGUUUGUUGUGCGUCCGGAGCAAUAUUAUACAAAUUGAUAAUAGAAUGCGUUGCUUUAUUAGAAAACGCAGGAUUUUAUGCUAAUGUUGUAGUCACAGAUGGUAUCAUGGAAUUGUACAAUGUGGAAGAAAUUUGGCAUGGAUGAACAUAUGUGUUCUUGCAAAAAUCCUGUAGAUAAUACUAGGCAGUUAUGGUUUGUAUCAGACUUUCCUCGUCUCAUCAAAUGUUUCCGCAAUCGUGUUGUUCAGCUAAAGAUCAUGACGUUAAGAAUUGAAGACAACUCGUUAUUAAAAAUACACACCAGAUGGAGUCAUUCAUACAGCGCAUUGGGAUGCUGUUAUUGAAAAGGACAAUUUCAAAUCUUAUACGUUGAAAGUUUGCCACAUGCACAUGUGCAUCCUAAACCAUACCAAAAAAUAAAUGUUGUAAUGGCUUUUCAGUUUUUCAGCCAUUCAGUUGCAACUAGAAUGCGUAUCUAUAAAAGUCAAGUUUCUAAUUUACAAGAUUGUGAAGGCAAUCGCAUAGAACGCAUGAAUGUGCUAAUCGACGUGAUGAAUGCAAGGUUAUCUGUUAUGCGAAACGGCACUAUCCAAAGGCAGAUACUAGAAGAUUUUCUUAAAUACCUUCACGAUUGGGAGGUCGCCAUACGGAAUAAUAACGCAUUUUUUAUAACACCAGAAACUAAUGGUGAUUUAAAAGUGACCUUAAUUUCUGCAUUACAACUACAUACGUUUCUGACAGAAAACUGUGGUUAUGAAUACUUUAUGGUCUAGGAUGAAUCAAGAUUCACUAGAAGUAAAUAAUUGCGCGAGCCCUUCCCCUCUUUCUGUGCUCCGGGGAACUUGCGUUAGGAAUGCCCAAUCACGGUAGUACGGUGACGCGCGACCGGCGCGGCAUAGAUCUGCGCCACGCAGUAGCUAAGGAUAUUAUGCUCAGUAUUUUAUCAAUUUAAACGGCGGGAUUGUGGGGUUAUCGCUUACAGCUCACCCUUUCUGCAUUAGCGUUCGUUCCGAGCUAGCAGUUUUUUUGUAAUUUGAAACAGCACAAUAACAAAGAAGAAAGAGAAAAAAAUAAACGGGCUAUAAAUAAUUGAUUAAUUAUUAACGCAACAAGUAAUUUUGUCUUAUCUACUACG